UACUGAAUCAUUAGGGAAAUAUCAGGUA
rnacentral:piRNA from 1 species